GCGGCAUAGGACGUCCACCCCGUCCUAUUCACUUAACUGCUCACCGGCGAUCGCAAUGGGGGGACUUACCUGGCAUCCCAGGGAGUCCCCCUGCUGCCGAUUCGGCCCUCCUGGGCCAUGUGAUCGCGAGGUCCUUGCGAGAACCUCCUGGGCCAUGUGAUCGCAAGGUCCUUGCGAGGACGGAAUAGCCAUCCAUAGAAGUGCC